rnacentral:rRNA from 1 species
AUGGUAAGAUUUGCUUCCGGAUAUUCCUACGGUCAACUUUGUAGAGUAACACGUGAUGCCUCUAAAUAUUCAACGUCUAUCUCAAUUAUCCAAAACAAUAAGCUACGCACAAGGGGCGCUAACUGGGGCUAUCCACGUGCCCACUCGCCAUUGCCCAAGAGAGAGAGACAUCAGCGUAUCCUUUUCCUGUUCUCACAUGAAUCCUUCUUCCCCUUUUCGUUUUUCCUCCCCACAGUGGCGGCUAGGGUUGCUGCCGCCAGCGCCGCAUCCGGCUCCCACUCCACCAGCAGCUCCUAUUCCCCUCUCAUCUCUUUUUGUGCACGCGAAGAUGCAGUGGAGGUGGUUCUCAUCGAAGGAGGCGGGGGUUGA